GGCCGGUUAGCUCAGUCAGUAGAGCAUAGCGCUAACAACGCUAAGGUCGCGGGUUCGAUUCCCGUUUGGUCCU
rnacentral:tRNA from 1 species